CUCUGUGACUCCUACGGGAGGCAGCAGUGGGGAAUAUUGCACAAUGGGCGCAAGCCUGAUGCAGCCAUGCCGCGUGUGUGAAGAAGGCCUUCGGGUUGUAAAGCACUUUCAGUCGUGAGGAAGGCGGUGUAGUUAAUAGCUGCAUCGUUUGACGUUAGCGACAGAAGAAGCACCGGCUAACUCCGUGCCAGCAGCCGCGGUAAUACGGAGGGUGCGAGCGUUAAUCGGAAUUACUGGGCGUAAAGCGCAUGCAGGUGGUUUGUUAAGUCAGAUGUGAAAGCCCGGGGCUCAACCUCGGAAUUGCAUUUGAAACUGGCAGACUAGAGUACUGUAGAGGGGGUAGAAUUUCAGGUGUAGCGGUGAAAUGCGUAGAGAUCUGAAGGAAUACCGGUGGCGAAGGCGGCCCCCUGGACAGAUACUGACACUCAGAUGCGAAAGCGUGGGGAGCAAACAGGAUUAGAUACCCUGGUAG
rnacentral:rRNA from 1 species